AGUACUGUAGUGUAAAAACAUCUGUGUAUAGGCGGACCUGUGCAGUUCAAACCUGUGUUGUUCAAGGGUCAACUGUACUUAGCAG
rnacentral:pre_miRNA from 14 species